AAAGUUUGAUCAUGGCUCAGAUUGAACGCUGGCGGCUUGCCUAACACAUGCAAGUCGAACGGUAACAGGAUCUGCUUGCACAUCGCUGACGAGUGGCGGACGGGUGAGUAAUGCUUGGGAACUUGCCUUUGCGAGGGGGAUAACUGUUGGAAACGACUGCUAAUACCGCAUAAUGUCUUCGGACCAAACGGGGCUUAGGCUCCGGCGCAAAGAGAGGCCCAAGUGAGAUUAGCUAGUUGGUAAGGUAACGGCUUACCAAGGCGACGAUCUCUAGCUGUUCUGAGAGGAAGAUCAGCCACACUGGGACUGAGACACGGCCCAUACUCCUACCGGAGGCAUCAGUGGGGAAUAUUGCACUAUGGGGGAAACCCUGAUGCAGCCCAUG
rnacentral:rRNA from 1 species